GACGAACGCUGGCGGCGUGCUUAACACAUGCAAGUCAAACGAUGAAGCCCUAGCUUGCUGGGGUGGAAGAGUGGCGAACGGGUGAGUAACACGUGAGUAACCUGCCCCUGACUCUGGGAUAAGCGCUGGAAACGGUGUCUAAUACUGGAUAUGACCUAUCACCGCAUGGUGUGUGGGUGGAAAGAUUUAUCGGUUGGGGAUGGACUCACGGCCUAUCAGCUUGUUGGUGAGGUAAUGGCUCACCAAGGCGACGACGGGUAGCCGGCCUGAGAGGGUGACCGGCCACACUGGGACUGAGCCACGGCCCAGACUCCUACGGGAGGCAGCAGUGGGGAAUAUUGCACAAUGGGCGCAAGCCUGAUGCAGCGACGCCGCGUGGGGGAUGACGGCCUUCGGGUUGUAAACUCCUUUCGCUAGGGACGAAGCGUUUUGUGACGGUACCUGGAGAAGAAGCACCGGCUAACUACGUGCCAGCCGCCGCCGUAA
rnacentral:rRNA from 1 species